UACGGGGGGAGCAAGCGUUGUCCGGAAUCAUUGGGCGUAAAGAGCGUGUAGGCGGCCCGGUAAGUCCGCUGUGAAAGUCCAGGGCUCAACCCUGGGAUGCCGGUGGAUACUGUCGGGCUCGAGUCCGGAAGAGGAGUGUGGAAUUCCUGGUGUAGCGGUGAAAUGCGCAGAUAUCAGGAGGAACACCAAUGGCGAAGGCAGCACUCUGGGACGUGACUGACGCUGAGACGCGAAAGCGUGGGGAGCAAACAGG
rnacentral:rRNA from 1 species